rnacentral:lncRNA from 1 species
UUUGUUGCCAUCUGGUCGGCGGGUGGCGCGCUUUGUGAAGUGGAGGAGGUUCAGGGUGGGUCACCGAAGUUGAACUUGCGGCUGACGCUUGCAUCAGCUGUGCAGGCCCCCUAGGUUUCCUUUUGGGCGGCGUUUCUUUCCAGGCGCUGGCGUGGUGUAUUAUCGUCAUCAGCUUAUCUGGCGCCCAUGUGUUUUAGCUCUGGCUGGCGUCGCAGCGCCUGGGCGGCUGUG